GAGUUUAUGACUCAAAAACUAGAGCGUCCGCCUCGGAUGCGGAAGGUCGUUGGUUCGAUCCCCGGUUGAGUCAUACCA